rnacentral:tRNA from 1 species
UGGAGUGUAGCUCAGUGGUAGAGUGCUUGUCUGGCACACAUGAGCCUCUGGGUUCAAAUCCCAGAACUGAAA